CUGUAGUCUGUAUUGAGUAGCCUGUACCACACUGCCUUUCCUUGCAGCUAUCUCCCAUCCUUCAGAACCACCUUCCUUGCUCUGUCCCUGGACUUUCUGCAGGGCCCAGUCACCCACUGCUUAACUGGCCAGAAAUGGAUAAUAAAAAAGUAUACUAUAGAGAUUACUGAUAAUAGAGAUACUGAUAAUUAAAAGACUGCAGCUAAUUAGCCUGAGAGUCACUAAGAUGGUUGGUACCACAGGCUAUAAACCCUGGUCAGUCACCUGGGAUAGGAACUGAGCUCUUUGCUUAAUCUCUUCUCCACUAUAAAUGAGGGGACAGAAGAGUUCAUGGUGAGAGUUCUCCCUUGAAGUCUAAUCUGGUGAGUAA